ensembl:lncRNA
GUUCUCAUAGAUAUGAAUGAGUAGAUAGGACACGCCCCUUUGAGCUGCAUGCUACAGCGAGGCUAAGCUAGUGGGGGCAAAGUUUCAGUGCAUUCCGUUGAUGUAGACGGCAUGAAAACGGAAACAAGUAUGCAGGCUCACUGUGCUGCAGACAAUUACACACUACGUCGUACGAUUGAGACAAGGAAAUUUGGAAUGACUUUUCAUAGGUUUCCCAGAGACUAUGGGUUGAGGAGGAAUUGGAAGUUUGUCGGCUUAGACCUGGUGUCAUUCCAUCAGUGUUAAACUUCCCGGCUCAUCUUGGAAGAGUACGUGCCAGAAAGACCACGACCAAGCAGCCUUGAGAUCUUAGGCAGUGUCUCCCUGAGGUCCCUCUCUAUCUCCCCACACAUCCACCAACCACUGGAACACAUCUCCAAAGUUCUGCCGGGCCAGCUCAGCUUCCCCUCAGAAGAAGUGCCGCCACCUGCCAGAUGAAGGAGCCUUUUGAGAGGCAGCUGGCAUCGUGAUUGGACUGUACUUUGGUCUGUUCCAAUCCAGCUUCAGCUCCAGAGACGGCAGGCGGGACGAGUCAAUGGAGGCCUGGUGGACGAAGGCAUGCAGCUGAGUACAAUCUAGAAAACAACAGAGGAGGAGUGCAGUGGCUCAGGGCCAGAACAACCAGAGUAGCAUCGUAUGUCUCUUAUUAAACAUCAUAGUAUAGCCUCUGGUAUGAAAAAAUGCCAUCAUAUACAUCGUAUAUUGUACAAAUAACAAGUCAAAGGAAAGAGACAUACAUUGUAGAAUUGUAGUAAUUGUGGGCUGACUGAUUUACUGAUUAUCAGUAUUUUAUUUUUUACUGAUUUACGGUAAUAAAUACAUUUAAAAAGUGUGCUAC